GGGGAUAUAGCUUAGUGGUAGAGCAUGUGUUUAGCAUACAUGAGGCCUCGGUUCAAUCCCCAGCUCCA
rnacentral:tRNA from 1 species